rnacentral:rRNA from 1 species
GACGAACGCUGGCGGCGUGCUUAACACAUGCAAGUCGAACGAUGAAGCUAGAGCUUGCUCUGGUGAAUUAGUGGCGAACGGGUGAGUAACACGUGAGUAACCUGCCCUGGACUCUGGGAUAACCCCGAGAAAUCGGAGCUAAUACCGGAUAGGACCUUUCCUCGCAUGAGGUGGGGUGGAAAGUUUUUUCGGUUUGGGAUGGACUCGCGGCCUAUCAGCUUGUUGGUGAGGUAAUGGCUCACCAAGGCGUCGACGGGUAGCCGGCCUGAGAGGGUGACCGGCCACACUGGGACUGAGACACGGCCCAGACUCCUACGGGAGGCAGCAGUGGGGAAUAUUGCACAAUGGGCGCAAGCCUGAUGCAGCAACGCCGCGUGCGGGAUGACGGCCUUCGGGUUGUAAACCGCUUUUAGUAGGGAAGAAGCCUCUUGGGGUGACGGUACCUGCAGAAAAAGGACCGGCUAACUACGUGCCAGCAGCCGCUGUAA